CCGGAUUUAUUGGGUUUAAAGGGUGCGUAGGCGGAUUAAUAAGUCAGCGGUGAAACUCACAGGCUCAACCUGUGCCGUGCCGUUGAAACUGUUUAUCUCAAAUGCGGAUGCUGUGGGAGGAAUGUGUAGUGUAGCGGUGAAAUGCAUAGAUAUUACACAGAACACCGAUUGCGAAGGCAUCUCACAAGGCCGUGAUUGACGCUGAGGCACGAAAGUGUGGGGAUCAAACAGGAUUAGAUACCCUGGUAGUCCACUACUGUAAACGAUGAUAACUCGCUGCCGGCGAUAUAUAGUCGGUGGCCCAGCGAAAGCGAUAAGUUAUCCACCUGGGGAGUACGACCGCAAGGUUGAAACUCAAAGGAAUUGACGGGGGCCCGCACAAGCGGAGGAACAUGUGGUUUAAUUCGAUGAUACGCGAGGAACCUUACC
rnacentral:rRNA from 1 species